rnacentral:rRNA from 1 species
AUGUCGCGAGGGCAAUUUUACAAAAACACCCUUCAGUUUCUCCCGACCAAACCCGCACUCCUCGUCGUCCUCCUCCGACAGAAUCCCCAGCUGCGCUCCUCCCCGCCGCCGUCGCUUCCCCGCUCCCGCGCCGCAGCUGCGCUGCUCCCCCCCGCCGCGGCUCCCCUGCUCCCCCGCUCCCUCGCCGCAGCUGCCUCCUGCUCCGGCGCCGAAGCUGCCGCUCGCCUGCCUCCCCAAGCUCCCCCCUUCCUCAUAAAAAUCUUCGAUUUCCCCAGCUUAAGCUCGACGACCCACGCGCCACCAGAGGAGGAUGGAACCGAGGUCGGGGAAGAUCUCCUCCGCCCCAAGCCAGUCCAGUAG